CAGCCGCCGCGGUAAUACCGGCAGCUCAAGUGAUGGCCGCUAUUAUUGGGCCUAAAGCGUCCGUAGCCGGCUAGACAGGUCCGUCGGGAAAUCCACCCGCUCAACGGGUGGGCGUCCGGCGGAAACCAGCUAGCUUGGGACCGAGCGACCUGAGGGGUACGUCCGGGGUAGGAGUGAAAUCCCGUAAUCCCGGACGGACCAUCGGUGGCGAAAGCGCCUCAGGAGAGCGGAUCCGACGGUGAGGGACGAAAGCUAGGGUCUCGAACCGGAUUAGAUACCCGGGUAGUCCUAGCCGUAAACGAUGCUCGCUAGGUGUGGCGCUGGCUACGAGCCAGCGCUGUGCCGUAGGGAAGCCGUGAAGCGAGCCGCCUGGGAAGUACGUCCGCAAGGAUGAAACUUAAAGGAAUUGGCGGGGGAGCAC
rnacentral:rRNA from 1 species